rnacentral:rRNA from 1 species
UACGGAGGGGGCUAGCGUUGUUCGGAAUUACUGGGCGUAAAGCGCACGUAGGCGGCUUGGAAAGUUGGAGGUGAAAGCCCGGAGCUCAACUCCGGAAUUGCCUUCAAAACUCCCGAGCUAGAGUUCAGAAGAGGAGAGUGGAAUUCCCAGUGUAGAGGUGAAAUUCGUAGAUAUUGGGAAGAACACCAGAGGCGAAGGCGGCUCUCUGGUCUGAAACUGACGCUGAGGUGCGAAAGCGUGGGGAGCAAACAGGAUUAGAAACCCUUGUAGU